rnacentral:lncRNA from 1 species
CCCAACACCCGGAGCCACUGUGGCUCCGGCCGGUUGCGCUGGCCCUCGGGCCCUCAGGGAGGCGAGGGUGCGAGGGCAGAGGAGUCCCUCCCUGUGUCCACCACCAUCACAAGCCCAGGGCAAGUACUGCUAGAGGGCUGCCUAUGAUCAGAUCUUCUGAGAACAUCAGAGAAAGACUGUCCUUGCAAUCUACACUACAGCAAGACUUCAGGACCUUGAACUUCAGGUUCAUAAUCUCACAACUGAGAAGGAUCCUUCCACACUCUUGGAACAGUGCACCCAUUGGAACUCUGAAGGUUAAGCUCACCAGGAAAGUUUCUCUCCAGAAGAAGAUAACACCCUUAAUGUGAACAGCUUUUCCCAAAAUCACGGAUUGAAACUUCUCUACACUCACGAGACUCUUAUCUUUGAAUAUUUUCCCUUGGUUAUGCUUCUGUGAACAAUAGACGUGAAAAGGGAGUCUGUUGUGUGCACUUAUGGGGCACACUUUUAUGUGUGAAGGAUUUUUCAGCCAGCCUUAUAUAUGGAUGACCUUAUAGUUUAAGAGAUAAAAGACAAAGACCCAAUGCAGCCAAAGAUGGGGUCAGAUAGCCUCUUGCCAUUUGGAAAGAAGAUGAGCAAAAAUGUAGAAAAAGCAAACGCAACUCCUAUCCCCAACAUUGUCAGCACCAUUGCUGUAAACUGACAAAGAGAUGUGUCCCUAAAUGUAUUUUUUAUUCUGUGUUCAAAGAUCACCAAUGAGAUUCCCAGUUGCCAAAUCCAAUCUUUAGUUUUCAUCUUAGUUCCUCUGAGCAACAUCUGAAAAAGGUGUCAUUAUAAGAGAGAGUCAGAGGAAGACUUCACUACAAUAAAUAAAUAAAUAAGAUGUGAUGCUGGAACCAAAGGUUGAUAUGACAUGCUUUGAAGGUAGUGGAAGAACACCUGGGCCAAGAAAUGCAGGUGGUCUUUUGAGGCUGGAAAGACAAGGAAAUAGAUUCUUCCCUGAACUCUCCAGAAGGAAUGCAAACCUACCAACGUCAUAAUUUUUGACUUACAAACCCCGGAAAUGAAAAAGAAUCAAUUUAUGUUGUUUGGAGUAAGCUAUGUGAUAGGCAACCUUGAAAUGGCCCCAGAUAAUCCCUGCCUCCAGACUAACAAAAUGAUAUUUGUGUCCAGAACCAGUUAAAGAGCUGUGGCAGUUCUAAGAACUUCCACCAAGAUAAAGCAUAUUCUGAAAGCUGGUUGCCAGAGAAACCAAUCAGCGAUAAAAGAAUUGGGACUUUCAGCUUCACCUUCUCUACCUCUGGGGAGGAAAGAAAGGGCAGAUAUUGAGCUCAAUCUCCAGUGGCUACUGGUUUAAUCAAUAAUGCUUACAUACUGAAGCUUCCUUAAAAACCCUAAAUGAAGGAGUUCAGAAAACCCCAGGUUCACCACAAUGAUGAAGACAUUCAUGUGCCUAGAGAGUAGCCCACCCUAACUCAGUGGGGCAGAAACUCCUGUGGUCAGAACCCUUCU